CGUGACUUCUCGCAAAGGCAGAAAGUAGUCAGAGUUUGAUCAUGGCUCAGGACGAACGCUGGCGGCGUGCUUAACACAUGCAAGUCGAACGGAAAGGCCCUGCUUUUGUGGGGUGCUCGAGUGGCGAACGGGUGAGUAACACGUGAGUAACCUGCCCUUGACUUUGGGAUAACUUCAGGAAACUGGGGCUAAUACCGGAUAGGAGCUCCUGCUGCAUGGUGGGGGUUGGAAAGUUUCGGCGGUUGGGGAUGGACUCGCGGCUUAUCAGCUUGUUGGUGGGGUAGUGGCUUACCAAGGCUUUGACGGGUAGCCGGCCUGAGAGGGUGACCGGCCACAUUGGGACUGAGAUACGGCCCAGACUCCUACGGGAGGCAGCAGUGGGGAAUAUUGCACAAUGGGCGGAAGCCUGAUGCAGCAACGCCGCGUGCGGGAUGACGGCCUUCGGGUUGUAAACCGCUUUCGCCUGUGACGAAGCGUGAGUGACGGUAAUGGGUAAAGAAGCACCGGCUAACUACGUGCCAGCAGCCGCGGUGAUACGUAGGGUGCGAGCGUUGUCCGGAUUUAUUGGGCGUAAAGGGCUCGUAGGUGGUUGAUCGCGUCGGAAGUGUAAUCUUGGGGCUUAACCCUGAGCGUGCUUUCGAUACGGGUUGACUUGAGGAAGGUAGGGGAGAAUGGAAUUCCUGGUGGAGCGGUGGAAUGCGCAGAUAUCAGGAGGAACACCAGUGGCGAAGGCGGUUCUCUGGGCCUUUCCUGACGCUGAGGAGCGAAAGCGUGGGGAGCGAACAGGCUUAGAUACCCUGGUAGUCCACGCUGUAAACGGUGGGUACUAGGUGUGGGGUCCAUUCCACGGGUUCCGUGCCGUAGCUAACGCUUUAAGUACCCCGCCUGGGGAGUACGGCCGCAAGGCUAAAACUCAAAGGAAUUGACGGGGCCCCGCACAAGCGGCGGAGCAUGCGGAUUAAUUCGAUGCAACGCGUAGAACCUUACCUGGGUUUGACAUGGAUCGGGAGCGCUCAGAGAUGGGUGUGCCUCUUUUGGGGUCGGUUCACAGGUGGUGCAUGGCUGUCGUCAGCUCGUGUCGUGAGAUGUUGGGUUAAGUCCCGCAACGAGCGCAACCCUUGUUCACUGUUGCCAGCACGUUAUGGUGGGGACUCAGUGGAGACCGCCGGGGUCAACUCGGAGGAAGGUGGGGAUGACGUCAAGUCAUCAUGCCCCUUAUGUCCAGGGCUUCACGCAUGCUACAAUGGCUGGUACAGAGAGUGGCGAGCCUGUGAGGGUGAGCGAAUCUCGGAAAGCCGGUCUCAGUUCGGAUUGGGGUCUGCAACUCGACCUCAUGAAGUCGGAGUCGCUAGUAAUCGCAGAUCAGCAACGCUGCGGUGAAUACGUUCCCGGGGCUUGUACACACCGCCCGUCAAGUCAUGAAAGUUGGUAACACCCGAAGCCGGUGGCCUAACCGUUGUGGGGGAGCCGUCGAAGGUGGGACUGGUGAUUAGGACUAAGUCGUAACAAGGUAACCGGACUACUUUCUGCCUUUGCGAGAAGUCAC
rnacentral:rRNA from 1 species